rnacentral:rRNA from 1 species
GACGAACCGUGCAAACGUUGUUCGGAAUCACUGGGCUUAAAGGGCGCGUAGGCGGGUCAUCAAGUCUGUGGUGAAAUCCUCCAGCUUAACUGGAGAAGGGCCGUGGAUACUGGUGAUCUUGAGGGAGGUAGGGGCAUGUGGAACUUCCGGUGGAGCGGUGAAAUGCGUAGAUAUCAGGAGGAACACCAGCGGCGAAGGCGGCGCUCUGGGCCGGUACUGACACUGAGGAGCGAAAGCGUGGGUAGCAAACAGG